UACGUAGGUGGCAAGCGUUUAUCCGGAAUUACUGGGCGUAAAGCGCACGCAGGCGGUCUUUUAAGUUUGACGUGAAAGCUCCCGGCUUAACUGGGAGAGGUCGUUGAAGACUGGAAGACUUGAGGCAAUGAGAGGGGUGUAGAAUUCCCGGUGUAGUGGUGGAAUGCGUAGAUAUCGGGGGGAAUACCAGUGGCGAAGGCGGCUCUCUGGGACGGUACUGACGCUGAGACGCGAAAGCGUGGGGAGCGAACAGG
rnacentral:rRNA from 1 species